AACGAACGCUGGCGGCAUGCCUAACACAUGCAAGUCGAACGAAGUCUUCGGACUUAGUGGCGCACGGGUGCGUAACGCGUGGGAAUCUGCCCUUGGGUGCGGAAUAACUUCUCGAAAGGGAUGCUAAUACCGCAUAAUGUCGUAAGACCAAAGAUUUAUCGCCCAAGGAUGAGCCCGCGUAAGAUUAGCUAGUUGGUGGGGUAAAAGCCUACCAAGGCGACGAUCUUUAGCUGGUCUGAGAGGAUGAUCAGCCACACUGGGACUGAGACACGGCCCAGACUCCUACGGGAGGCAGCAGUGGGGAAUAUUGGACAAUGGGCGAAAGCCUGAUCCAGCAAUGCCGCGUGAGUGAUGAAGGCCCUAGGGUUGUAAAGCUCUUUUACCAGGGAUGAUAAUGACAGUACCUGGAGAAUAAGCUCGGCUAACUCCGUGCCAGCAGCCGCGGUAAU
rnacentral:rRNA from 1 species